rnacentral:rRNA from 1 species
UACGUAGGGUGCGGGCGUUAAUCGGAAUUACUGGGCGUAAAGCGUGCGCAGGCGGUUUUGCAAGCCGGAUGUGAAAUCCCCGGGCUCAACCUGGGAAUGGCAUUCGGGACUGCAAGGCUGGAGUGCGGCAGAGGAGACUGGAAUUCUUGGUGUAGCAGUGAAAUGCGUAGAUAUCUGGAGGAAUACCGAUGGCGAAAGCGGCGCACUGGACCACAACUGACGCUGAGGCGCGAAAGCUAGGGGAGCAAACAGG